GACGAACGCUGGCGGCGUGCCUAAUACAUGCAAGUCGAACGCUUUUUCUUUCACCGGAGCUUGCUCCACCGAAAGAAAAAGAGUGGCGAACGGGUGAGUAACACGUGGGUAACCUGCCCAUCAGAAAGGGAUAACACUUGGAAACAGGUGCUAAUACCGUAUAACACUAUUUUCCGCAUGGAAGAAAGUUGAAAGGCGCUUUUGCGUCACUGAUGGAUGGACCCGCGGUGCAUUAGCUAGUUGGUGAGGUAACGGCUCACCAAGGCAACGAUGCAUAGCCGACCUGAGAGGGUGAUCGGCCACACUGGGACUGAGACACGGCCCAGACUCCUACGGGAGGCAGCAGUAGGGAAUCUUCGGCAAUGGACGAAAGUCUGACCGAGCAACGCCGCGCGAGUGAAGAAGGUUUUCGGAUCGUAAAACUCUGUUGUUAGAGAAGAACAAGGAUGAGAGUAAAACGUUCAUCCCUU
rnacentral:rRNA from 1 species